CAGAGACUGCAAGCGUUAUUCGGAUUCACUGGGCGUAAAGGGUGCGCAGGCGGCCAUGUGUGUGAGGCGUGAAAGCCCGGGGCUUAACCCCGGAAUUGCACCUCAAACUACGUGGCUAGAGCAUUGGAGAGGGUAGCAGAAUUCAUGGUGUAGCAGUGAAAUGCGUAGAUAUCAUGAGGAAUACCAGAGGCGAAGGCGGCUACCUGGACAAUUGCUGACGCUCAGGCACGAAAGCGUGGGGAGCAAAAGGGAUUAGAUACCCCUGUAGUCCACGCCCUAAACGGUGCACACUAGGUCUUGGCGGAUUCGACCCCCCCAGGGCCCCAGCUAACGCGUUAAGUGUGCCGCCUGAGGACUACGGCCGCAAGGCUA
rnacentral:rRNA from 1 species